rnacentral:rRNA from 1 species
GGCGGCUUACCAUGCAAGUCGAACGAUGACUCNCUAGCUUGCUAGNUAUGAUUAGUGGCGGACGGGUGAGUAACAUUUAGGAAUCUGCCUAGUAGUGGGGGAUAGCUCGGGGAAACUCGAAUUAAUACCGCAUACGACCUACGGGUGAAAGGGGGCGCAAGCUCUUGCUAUUAGAUGAGCCUAAAUCAGAUUAGCUAGUUGGUGGGGUAAAGGCCCACCAAGGCGACGAUCUGUAACUGGUCUGAGAGGAUGAUCAGUCACACCGGAACUGAGACACGGUCCGGACUCCUACGGGAGGCAGCAGUGGGGAAUAUUGGACAAUGGGGGCAACCCUGAUCCAGCCAUGCCGCGUGUGUGAAGAAGGCCUUUUGGUUGUAAAGCACUUUAAGCAGGGAGGAGAGGCUAAUGGUUAAUACCCAUUAGAUUAGACGUUACCUGCAGAAUAAGCACCGGCUAACUCUGUGCCAGCAGCCGCGGUAAUACAGAGGGUGCGAGCGUUAAUCGGAAUUACUGGGCGUAAAGCGAGUGUAGGUGGCUCAUUAAGUCACAUGUGAAAUCCCCGGGCUUAACCUGGGAACUGCAUGUGAUACUGGUGGUGCUAGAAUAUGUGAGAGGGAAGUAGAAUUCCAGGUGUAGCGGUGAAAUGCGUAGAGAUCUGGAGGAAUACCGAUGGCGAAGGCAGCUUCCUGGCAUAAUAUUGACACUGAGAUUCGAAAGCGUGGGUAGCAAACAGGAUUAGAUACCCUGGUAGUCCACGCCGUAAACGAUGUCUACUAGCCGUUGGGGUCCUUGAGACUUUAGUGGCGCAGUUAACGCGAUAAGUAGACCGCCUGGGGAGUACGGCCGCAAGGUUAAAACUCAAAUGAAUUGACGGGGGCCCGCACAAGCGGUGGAGCAUGUGGUUUAAUUCGAUGCAACGCGAAGAACCUUACCUGGUCUUGACAUAGUGAGAAUCCUGCAGAGAUGCGGGAGUGCCUUCGGGAAUUCACAUACAGGUGCUGCAUGGCUGUCGUCAGCUCGUGUCGUGAGAUGUUGGGUUAAGUCCCGCAACGAGCGCAACCCUUUUCCUUAUUUGCCAGCGGGUUAAGCCGGGAACUUUAAGGAUACUGCCAGUGACAAACUGGAGGAAGGCGGGGACGACGUCAAGUCAUCAUGGCCCUUACGACCAGGGCUACACACGUGCUACAAUGGUAGGUACAGAGGGUUGCUACACAGCGAUGUGAUGCUAAUCUCAAAAAGCCUAUCGUAGUCCGGAUUGGAGUCUGCAACUCGACUCCAUGAAGUCGGAAUCGCUAGUAAUCGCAGAUCAGAAUGCUGCGGUGAAUACGUUCCCGGGCCUUGUACACACCGCCCGUCACACCAUGGGAGUCUAUUGCACCAGAAGUAGGUAGCCUAACGCAAGAGGGCGCUACC